rnacentral:lncRNA from 1 species
GGCGCUUCCUUCCUGGGAAGGGCCAGCCAAGAGGCAAGCGGGGCGCAUGUGCACCUGGCCCCUUCCUCCCUCCGCUCAUGCUCUGCCCCGCUCCCUUGCUCUCUCUUCAGAUUUAGACAUGGCUCGAGAGCACAAGCCCGGCCCUGCCCAGCCAAGCCAGAAGAGGCAGCGGGGCAUAGCCAUCUCCUGGCGGAACCUGAAGCUCCUGCAGCUGUGUCCCCACAGGGCCUUCCUGCCCAGGCCAGGACCCAAUUGUCUCUCUGCACGGAUCCCCCAACCCUUCUUGGGCACCAGUUCCCCGGAGUGCGUGGUGGAUGAGACAAUGGGGUGCGGUAACUAUGACCUGGACUACGAGGGGUACAGGGAAGAUGUCCCCUACAGGGUGUAUGAAUACCGCAGGAUCCCUCCACUCCUCAACCGUGUGCCUGUCAAGAUCCGGAGGACCCAUGUGGGCGUCGGAGUGAAGAGCAGCUUCAGUCCUCACAAGGCCCCCAGGAAUAGCCAACUGCCCCCAGGGCAGAUAAAACUGCGGACUAAGGAGCUGCACUCCAUCAGAGGGGAGCUGAGCCAGAUCAAAGCCCAGGUGGACUGCCUAUUGGAGAGUCUGGAGCGCAUGCACCAGCAGAGGGAGCAGCAUCCAGGGACAGAGGACAGUGAAGACAACAGGGGCCCUGAUAGUAAGGGUUCCUCAUGCAGACCUACUGAGCCCCAGCAGGAGCCCAGGGGCCAGAGCGCCCAUCCAGAGGCAGAAAGCCCCAAGGAGAGCACAGACCCGGAGGAGGCAGUGAAAAAUCACGCAUCUGACCAGGAGGUCGGCCAGUAGAAGGUGGAACCCCUCCAGGCUCAUUAGCUCUAGGCACCUUCCCAGGUGGCUCCAUUCCUUCCCUCGUGUGGUUUUUCAAAGGCCUCCCGAUCGCACCCACGCAACCAGAGUCUGGAGCCAGGGCAACCGGAAGUGGAGGCACAGCUCAUCCAGACCAGCCAGGAAGCCUCCCUAAGGGUAGCUUUAGCUUUGCAGGUUGUUUCCAGAUGAUAGUCUAGGGACUGGCAGGGACGGGAGGGAGGAGGCACAGAACUGUCCUCAUGAAGGUGAGGCCCAGUCUUGCAAGGAGCAGCUGGACAGGGUCCCCCUGGGAGCACCACUAGCCCUGUCUGACUGCAGGUACUGCUUUGGCUGCUCUUCUCUCCUCCCAAGGCCCCGCCAGUCCUGUCUGGGUGUGGAGCAUCCUAGAGCAGCUGGCCCAGACAGCUUUCUCCAGCCACAGUGGUGCAGAGGAAAUGUACUCCUGUUCCUAGUCGGCCUUCCAGUCUGAAACUGAGAUUUAAGGUCCUCAGCACGUGCCCCACAUAACCCCUUUUGGUUCCAGACUCCCUAUCUACCCUACAAAGCCAUCCUUCAGAAGAGGGGUAUCAUUUUUAGGUCCCCUUUCUAUUUUGUCUCUUGCUGGUGUGAUACUAUUUCAGAUCUGCUCUGGAAAUACUACAUCAGAAGGGGAAAAAUAAAGUUUCUAUUUCUUUUCCCUGGUCAGGGGUUCUUGGUGUGGUCUGAGAGCCUCAUUCUGGUCCUUGGGCUGCCCCCGACCAGCCCUUCCGAGAGAAGCUGAGCAGGCCUCUGGGACACACAAGUUCAGAAGCUUAUAUCAAACCAGGGCACAGAAUGGGGACCAGCCUGCCCUGCCUUCCUCCAACCCAGACCAGAGCACAAACCCAAGGGGCUUAGGAGCCACACAAGAAAAUCCUACCCUUGUGGUCCAGUCAUCCAGGCUGGCUCUGCCCUACAGAAUGGCCAGGCUGCAUGUGGUUUUCCAGCAUCUGGAAACUCCUGCUCCUGGCAGUUCAUCUGCCCUCUCCCAGGAGCCAAGACUGGACAAAAGGCACCAAUAAUGAAGCCAGCCUGGGCCCCCAUUUCUUAUCAGCAGUGGAGGUCUCUGGCUGUGCUGCUCUGCACAUGACCAAGGAAGGAUGGGAUCUGGCUUCCACCCAGAGCCAAACCCUUCCCAGCUACCCAACCCUGAGCUAUGGUCUUGCAAAGCACCAAACCAGAGGCUGGGGGUGCACCCAGUGUGCUCCUGGAGCCAUACAACCCUUCUACUCUUGUCACACGUCAGCAGUGGCCCUGACUCUGGCACCUGAAGGGCAGUUUCUCCUCCAAAACUCAUUUCCCUACAUCAACCUUUGCAGCUCCUUCAGUUUCAGCUGGUCUCUUCUGCUUGUGUUGGUGUAAGGGACAGGACACACUUAGGACAAUGCUGUCCCAAGCCCUUGACACGAGGGGUCUAAGAUUGCACUAUCCAGCUCAGAAGAGCUUUGCUCUUUUUUAUUCAUGUGCGUUGUUUUAAUAGAUUUUAUUUUUCCUUUUUCUCCCCAAAUCCCCUGGUACAUAGUUGUAUAUUUUUAGUUGUGGGUCCUUCUAGUUGUGGCAUGUGGGAUGCUGCCUCAGCAUGGCUUGAUGAGUGGUGCUGUGUUGGUGCCCAGGAUUCCAACCGGCGAAACCCUGGGCCACUGAAGCAGAGGUGCCAACUUAACCACUCGGCCACGGGGCCGGCCCCUUAGCCUUGCUUUUUAAAAUCCUGUACCAAGAAGAACCACGAUAGAAGGCUUUUUCAGAUAUAAAACAGUUUUGUUUUUGUUUUAGCUCAGCUGUAAGUGAGAAGGCACAGCUUCCUUGUCCAUUCCCUCAAAAGCAGCCCAGCUAUACAGGAGGGAGUCACUGGCUGGCCUGCAAUAGGGUCCACCCCUUACAAGACCAUAGCUCCAGGUCUCGUAAGUCCAGUUGAAGUCCUUUCGAACUUGGGAGUCAGGCUGCAUCACAGGUUUCUUCAACUGGGUCGUAGAUGGCAGCCAGCUCAAGUAAAGUUUCUUUAACGGAACAAUUCAUAAAAAGCCAUUCCAACACACCUGUCCAGGGCAUCAGUUCCGCGCAGGCCUCCCCAGAUCCUCUCCCGCGCUCUGAGUUCUCAGCCCAGCAUGGAAGCCGAAGGGGCGGGUCCUUUCGGGGAUCGCGGCAGCUCGGUCCACGGCGUCCGUCGUUGCCCUGGCUUCUGGUUCAGAGCGGCGCGGCGGCGUCCCUCCGGCGGGCGGCCCGCACCAGGCACUGCUGCAGGACGGGGUAGAGGCGCUGGCAGCCCUCGAGGCCCAGGCGCACGGCCUCAGCCCAGCUCUCGGUCGGGCCGCCCUCCCCGCUGCCCAGCAGCCCGGCCACCUGGUUGAGAACGGGCAUGAGCGCCACCGUGAGGCCGGCGGCGGCGCGAUCCUCCUCGAGCCGCGUGGGGUCCAGCAGCCAGGUGGGCGCGGGCCCCGGCGCACGGCUCAGGCCGCAGCCCACCACCAGGUCGUACAUCUCGACGCCCGCGUCGGCCAGGGCAAGCGCGGCGGCCGUG